ACCCAUUCGGGUAAUUAGAAUUUAUCGGUUCGGAUUCGGUUCGGUUUCGGGUCGGGUUCGGUUCGGGUUCGAUCUAAAAAAGGCCUAAAAAUACAAAAAAAUAUCUGAAAAUAUUUAUAUAUCCGAAAAUAUUCAAAAUUUUAUUCAAAAUUUGUGUGUUUUAUUAUAUUAAAAUGUGUAUAUAUACUAAACUAUGCAAAAUACAACAACAAUUCGUUGUCUCCUAGUGGUUGACCCCUAUAUUCUCUAGACAUAUAACCCGUCUUUGAUUCCCCCUUGAUGCAUUUUAUUUAAUUUACAUUAUUAAUUCGGGUACCCAUCGGGUUUCGGGUUCGGGUCGGGUCGGGUCCAAGACCCGCGGGUCCUCUACAACAAGACCCGAUAGGGUAAUUUGAUCGGGUCGGUUCCUACCCGAACCGGGUUUUUUCGGAUCGGUUUCGGGUCGGGUCUUCGGAUCCGGGUAAAAUGCCCAGGCCUAGAACGAACCUUCCUAAAACGCUUAUCCAUGUGAGCAUGGCGGUCUAGUUCCACCCGUAAAAGGCCGGGUCGGGUCCGAUUGGAUCGUUUACUUUUUUAGUCGUCUAUAAACUGCUUUACCUUUGCAUCCCCUACUAUUCUUACAUCAAUCAACUUCGCUCGUUUUGGCAACAUUCCCUGAACACACAUUGUAGUUCUUGUCAGUUUGCUUUAUCUUUUUUUAUCUUACUAUCAUUUUCGUGUUAGGCUUUACUAAAUGACGCUCAAAUGUCUGCUUAUUGCUAAUAUCUAUGAAAGUAUUUUACCGUCUCAGCAUGAUGAAAAUCAUCCGCGAGAAAUAUCAUUCCUUUGUAUGAAUUUUUAGAGUUUAAGACCCCUUGGAGAUUCAACGGAUACUAAGGUAAAUCACUCUUAUACUUGUUGAUGAAGAACAUAUAGAGGCUUUUUUUUCUAAAUACCACGAGGUUUGGGAACCAAGCCCAUAAUCCAUCCUGAUCUGAAACCACAAUGUGUAGUAUUAGUUUUUGGUCCCAUCAAAGGAUUGGGGACCUCUGACACAAUGGUCAAAGAUAUGAUGUUAACAUGUAUAAUUUUACGCAUCUAAAAUUAACGGGAUCGAACAUGGGUAUAAAUUUUAAAAUCCAUAUUUACUUUGGGUAAAUACAAAUGGGUAUUGGUGUACCCAUAAUUUUUCAAUUAUAUAAAAUUAAUAUUUUUCACCAAUAAAUUCAAUACUCAUCAUUUGCUUGACAAUAAGUUUUUCAGCUAUAACCACAAAAACGAGUUUUCCUGUCAAAACAACAAAAACAAAUUUUCACGCCAAAAACUGGAAAACGAGUUUUUUCGCCAAAAAUGAGUUUUUCCACCAAAAACAAAAAUGAGUUUAUGCUAAAACCGUAAAAAUGAAUUUUCCCGUAAAAAAUUACAAUACGAGUUUUCUCGCCAAAACCGCAAAAAUGAGUUUUCCUACUAAACUGUUUACCGCCAAAAACUGAAAUAUAUUUUUUUCCACCAAAACGAGUUUUUACGACCACAAUUGUAACAUGAAUUUUCUCGCCAAAACCACAAACGAGUUUUUCCGCCAAAAUCGGAAAAAUGAGCAUUCUCGCCAAAACCGAAAACACGAUUUUUCCAAAUAAAUUGGAAAAUGUGUUCUUUUCCAAAAACUGUAAAAUGAGUUUUCUAGCCAAAACCGAAAAACUAGUUUUCCCGCCAAAACGAUGGUUUCCACAAAAACGAGUGUUCCCAAUAAAACUGCCAAAUCAAAUUUUCUCGUCACAACUGAAACAAAUAAUUUUUCGCAAAAACGAGUUUUACUGCCAAAACCGUUAACGAGUUUUCCGCUAAAACGAGUUUUCCUGUCAAAAUCAGAAAAAUAGUUUUCCGCCAAAACUCGAAAAUAAGUUUUUCUGCCAAAAAUGAAAAAUCUCUAAUUUGUUUGAUUGUAUUGUUUCUCACAUGUAACCUAGAGUGACAUAUGUUUUCAGUGUACCAGAUUUUUUAAACCAUUGAUGCCCUUUCGAGGGUUGAUUUAAUAUAUACAAUUAUUAUUUAAAAAAAUUAUUGAUUUAUGCAUAGAUAUAAAAAUUAUCUUUUUAAUGGUAUAUAAAACGUAUAAUCUGAUUAUGCAUACAAAAUAUAUUUAAUAUUGUACAUAAUUUUUUUAGAACAAAUAAAAUAGUAAUUUGUUUGGGUAUAAACUGGGUCGUGUUUUUGUGGGUUGGGCUGAACUGAGUUAGUUUACCUUACAUUAACAUCCUUAGUUAUAUUUUAUAUCUUUCCUCAAAACAAACUCUUGCUGCGACUUUUUGUAAUCAUGCAGAAAUUAUAGCGGUUCAAGAAUCUUACGAGACUGUGCAUGUUUUAGGUAUACUAGGGUGUGUCCGCGCUACGCGCGGAUUGUGCCGUUAUAAAAUUUUUCUUUUAAUUUAGUAUAAAAAUAUCAUUUGAUUAUUUUGUCGUAAAGAACCAACAAAGUAUCAAUUGAAAAGUAACUAUUUUGUUGUUGUUUUUUUAUUGAACUUACUAUUUUGUUGUUUUUUGUUUAUGUUUUAUCGAUGAUCUCUUUUAGUCUUAAGAUGUAUUUACAACAGAACUUUUAUGCAUGUAAGUUUAAUAUUUUCAAAAAAAUUCAGACUAAUUAGAGUUGGACAUUUUGAAUAGGAUAGAAUGAGAAAUAAACCAUGCAUAUCGAGAUGAAGUGGUUAUGCUUUUCCUUAGAGAAACAUAUUUUGUUUUUUUUUUAAAUCAUUGAAAACAUGUGGACAGUGUAACUUUUAAAGUAGCAUUCAAUAUGAAACAAAAUAUUUCCAGCAAGAUAAAACAAUUUUACGACUCGAAUAUUUAUUCAAAGAAUCUUCUUCUUCCUCUGCCCUUGUGACUUUUGUUGUUUCAGCCGGUGUAAUCUUUCUUUUUAUGACGUCAAUACGUAUAAAAAAACACAUAUAUUCAUUAACAAACGAUAGUCUAAGAAAUAGAUCUGUGAUUAACCAUAAUAUAUCAACACAAUGAAUACUAAUUUAAUCCAAGAAACGGAUCUGUGAUAGACACCACACAAAAUUUGAAACUGAGAACAUCAAUUUAAAUUUAUCUUCACGGCAAAUGUACUCACCUGAGUCUUUGUAAAUCCCUCCAACAAACUCCCAGGCUGUUUCUACACCCCCACAAAAUUUUUUUAAUAAAAAACACCAUAAGCUGAUGUAGAUUUUUAUAGAAGAAAUAUUCAUGAUUCUUGAAAAAAGACUAACCUCAGAUGAGAAAACGUGACCAUGAACACUGAGAACUUCAUGCUUUCCAGAUUUUAAAUCUGUUAGUUCUCAUUUAAUAAUCAGAAACAAAGGAUGACAUAAUAAAAAGAAAAGAAACAGUCUGACUUCAUAUUUUCCAUGUAUAGUUACCAUCACAACUUCAUCUGAAGUUAAUCUCUAUGAUGCAGACACGAAGAAUACUUAAGAACAUGUAUCUUUGGAUCAUGUAUCUUUGGAUUUGAGCGAAAAUUUGGUACCUUUCGUUGCCGUACGUGAGUUAGGAUCUGUGGCAGGAAUAAAGCCUUAAUCAUUUCUCGGCUUUGGCUGAAAUUUUUCACUUAUAUAUAUUAAAGAUGAAGCGGUAGGAGUCAUUUAGAGGUCUUUAAUAUUAAUUUGGAACUCAACCUGUUUAUUGAAGAUGAGAAUUUAAUUGUAAAGUAUAUGAAGAGGUAGAAACUCUUGGCUUUCUGGUUUGUGUAGGCAGCUAAUACUAAUAGAAAAUUGGAAGAAGUAGCAGCAAACCGUCCGUGAAGUUUCAUUUUUUUCAAAAAAAUAUGAUGUGGAUUUUACAAAAUGACAUGGCAGUUUGAUAACAUAUGAUUAGUUGAUUUAAUUGGCUGAGGUGGAUAGCUUAAAAAGACUCCCUCAAUCCCUUUUAGUAUAGUAUAGAUGACUCGCCACAUACAAAAAGCAAACAAAGUACUUAGUAAGAAGGAACCGACAAAAGUAUCAAAGAAGGUGAUAUCAAAAACGACAGAACAAAACAUAUCCCUUCAAAACAUAUCCUUCUAAGAUUUUUUUUCGUACGUACCAAAAAAUAAUAAUAAUAAAGAAGUGGACAUCUAUUAUAUCUGUUCAUGUGAUAAUUUAGCUGAUUUGUUUACAAAUGAGCUUCCCAUACAUUUUGAAAAGGGAAAAUUGGAAAAAAGAGACACUUUCAACUUGGAUUUGUCACUCUAAAACUUUAUCUACAUUUUUUGUCUCAUUAGGACUUUAAUUUUUGUAAAUACCCUUAUACCCCCAAAUUAAUCUAAAUUAAAUUUUAUUUAUUAAAUUUAGAUAUUUUAAUUAGAUUUUUAUAAAGUUAAAAAAAGGUAAAAUAGAUAAAAGGUAAAUACACAUCACUAAACCUAAUUACCAUCUAUCAUCUUCUCCGCCGAUCUCCUUUCCUUUCUUCAAUGACGAUUUCACCUCCUUCAUCGGCUAAAACCCAUAGUCUAUGUUCUAUGUUUCUUCUUCUCUAUUUCUUAUUCUCUGUUUCUUCUUCUGUACUCUCUGUUUCGUCGUCCUCGUUUGCUCGUCGUCGUCGGCUCAGUUCUUUGUUUCCUCAUUAGUUUCAUCAAAUCCUACGAUUUCUCACAAACGACACGAAUUAGGGAACUGAAGAUUUGUUCUUCGUCUACGGUUUCGUGGGACAGUCUUCUUCUUCCUCUACGUGUUUCUUUGGACGGUCACCAUUUGACAUUGACUGGCUAUAUAUGUAAUUCAACGGUUUGGCAUGGCUCUUCUUGGAUGUAUCCACAAACAGCUCACUACUCUACACGGAGGUAAUCCUAGUCACGGUAAACUAAUCUCCUCUUGUACGAAGAGGUUGGUUGACCUAUGUGGAUAAUAAUGACAGGAGUUUGAUCCUAGUCACAGUAAGCUUGUGGUGGACUUUGCGGUGAGCAGAGAACAAACGAACGAGAAGGGAGAGAAAAUGUACAUUCAGACAAGAAUGGCAGAGUAUGCAGAAGAGUUGUGGGAGUUGCUGGAAAAAAAAAGACAACACCUUUGUUUACAUGUGUGGUCUCAAGGGUAUGGAGAAGGGUAUCGAUGAGAUCAUGAUAUCACUUGCUGCUAAAGAUGGUUGGGGGAUUUUAAACAGGGAUCGAUUGGUUGGAGUACAAGAAGCAAUUAAAGAGGAGUGAGCAGAGGAAUGUGGAAGUCUACUAGGCAAGCUUGUGAUGGAUUUUGUUACUAUUUUAUUCUGUAGAUAAAGGAGCUGAUGCCAUUGUCAAUUAUUCAUUCUUUGCAUCUUUCAUUUUUUCUUGCAACAAUAUGUUUUUAUUGGAAUACAUACCAGCAUCUCGCUACAAACAA